UACGGGGGGCAAGCGUUGUUCGGAAUUACUGGGCGUAAAGGGCUCGUAGGCGGCCAACUAAGUCAGACGUGAAAUCCCUCGGCUUAACCGGGGAACUGCGUCUGAUACUGGAUGGCUUGAGUGUGGGAGAGGAAUGCGGAAUUCCAGGUGUAGCGGUGAAAUGCGUAGAUAUCUGGAGGAACACCGGUGGCGAAGGCGGCAUUCUGGACCAUUACUGACGCUGAGUGAGCGAAAGCCAGGGGAGCAAACGGG
rnacentral:rRNA from 1 species